rnacentral:tRNA from 1 species
GAGGGUAUAGCUUGGUGGUAAAGCGCCGGCUUAGCAGGCAUCAGGUCCUGGGUUCAAUUCCCAGUACCUCCA